rnacentral:rRNA from 1 species
AGAGUUUGAUCAUGGCUCAGGCCGAACGCUGGCGGCGUGCUUAACACAUGCAAGUCGAACGGUGACCUCGAGAGCUUGCUCUUGGGUGAGCAGUGGCGAACGGGUGAGUAACACGUGAGUAACCUGCCCCUGACUCUGGAAUAAGCGCUGGAAACGGCGUCUAAUACCGGAUAUGAGAUGCCACCGCAUGGUGAGUGUCUGGAAAGUUUUUCGGUCUGGGAUGGACUCGCGGCCUAUCAGCUUGUUGGUGAGGUAAUGGCUCACCAAGGCGAUGACGGGUAGCCGGCCUGAGAGGGCGACCGGCCACACUGGGACUGAGACACGGCCCAGACUCCUACGGGAGGCAGCAGUGGGGAAUAUUGCACAAUGGGCGAAAGCCUGAUGCAGCGACGCCGCGUGAGGGAUGACGGCCUUCGGGUUGUAAACCUCUUUCAGCAGGGAAGAAGCGAAAGUGACGGUACCUGCAGAAGAAGCACCGGCUAACUACGUGCCAGCAGCCGCGGUAAUACGUAGGGUGCGAGCGUUGUCCGGAAUUAUUGGGCGUAAAGAGCUUGUAGGCGGUUUGUCGCGUCUGCUGUGAAAAUCCGGGGCUUAACCCCGGACUUGCAGUGGGUACGGGCAGACUAGAGUGUGGUAGGGGAGACUGGAAUUCCUGGUGUAGCGGUGAAAUGCGCAGAUAUCAGGAGGAACACCGAUGGCGAAGGCAGGUCUCUGGGCCACUACUGACGCUGAGAAGCGAAAGCAUGGGGAGCGAACAGGAUUAGAUACCCUGGUAGUCCAUGCCGUAAACGUUGGGAACUAGGUGUGGGUCUCAUUCCACGAGAUCCGUGCCGCAGCUAACGCAUUAAGUUCCCCGC